rnacentral:lncRNA from 1 species
UGAGAUUUAUCCAACCGACCUUCCAGGAAAAUGAUAUUCCAUUGACCAAGACUUGCGGAGGCCCUUCCCGUGUAUAAAUCUGGACCAAUUUCUUCCCGAACCAUCACAAUACAUCGUCUCUUUACAUAAAAUCACACACAGAGAAACUUCAGCGAUCAGCAGAUCAUCCAUGGAACACGGACACCAUCAUGGCGGUCACCAUGGUCAUCAUCAUGGCCACCAUGGUCACGGUCAUGGACACUGUUGGGAAUGACUGAUCCCCGAUAACCGGAUUCGACACUAAAUCGAACCCCUAAAUCAAUGCGGAAGACGAAGCCCGG